rnacentral:rRNA from 1 species
GACAGAGGGUGCAAACGUUGCUCGGAAUCACUGGGCGUAAAGGGCGUGUAGGCGGAUUUGUAAGUCAGGGGUGAAAUCCCGGGGCUCAACCUCGGAACUGCCUUUGAUACUGCGAAUCUUGAGUCCGAUAGAGGUGGGUGGAAUUCCUAGUGUAGAGGUGAAAUUCGUAGAUAUUAGGAAGAACACCGGUGGCGAAGGCGGCCCACUGGAUCGGUACUGACGCUGAGGUGCGAAAGCGUGGGGAGCAAACAGG